UGGCUCAGAUGGUAAAGAACCUGCCUGCAAUGCAGGAGACCCAGGUUUGAUCCCUGG
rnacentral:tRNA from 1 species